ensembl:lncRNA
CAUUCCUGUGUGCUUUUGCUAGGCGUGUGAAGUUUGUGGGGUCUCAGCUCUUGGGAAAGGCAUUUAGAAGGAUAAGCGCUUGUGCCUGACUUCUCCAAGGCCCGUGUGUCGAGGUAGUCUGAAGAGCUUAUGCUGUGAGCAAUGAGCUUUACAAGGUGAUAUCUGAAACCUUCCUCUUUCCUUAGUUUCACUGCUUCUGCUACUGUUUUUUUGCAGUGUCAAGUACACGAGACCAUACGAACCCCUGAGGAACAGACAUAUCACAUCAAGUUUGAAAGACCUCUUAGCCCUGGAUGGCUUAUUUUUGCUGUUAUUUCUUCUUAAACAAGGAGUCCUUGUGGUUUGUCAUGCAGCCACAUAGGUUUGGGGGAAGGGAUUUAUCUGCUCAGUACAGUAACCAAUGUUGAUGUGGAAGGGAAAUGACUAUGGCCAUAAUUACUUCCAGUGAGUGUAGAAACUGGAGAAGGUUAGAGCCUCCUUGUGCACUGUGCACCUAGGGAUCAGUGUUCAAUAUGAAUGACAGAAGAACAAAGGUCAGACUUCUGGAACCACUCACAGUCAAACACAGUUGCCAAGCUCCCUUGAAUUUUAUUUGUUACUUGUUAAAACAACAAAAUUAAAAAAAAAAAAGAAACCCUUUCUUCUCAUUAUAGAUGGAGGAACACAGAUGCACAGCCCAGGUCUCCAGCUAAAAGAGACAGGGAAAGGGAGUCCGUACUGGUGCUCAUAAGGAAAGAUACUUUAUAAGGACUGGUAUGCAUGGUGGAAGCUCUCUUCUGACUGUGCACCCCCACAGAACACAGAAGGAAGCAACAGAAGGGGUUUUUUGGCUGUUUUCGGCUUCCUAGCUGCAAACAGUACUCCUUGCUCAGCCAUUCUGGUUGUUAGUGGUAGAAGGUAGCCAGAGUGGUACCAGGCAGAACAUGGGCAUAGUGAAAUGACUGGGCAUGUGGCAGUGAAAAACACCCAGCUUAGGGUGAGAUAUAAAUCUUUGCUCUUCAGCAAUAAACUCACUACUGAUUCAAGACCUCUCUUUUUUGCAUUCCCUCUACCAGAGGGAUGCACCAUCAACUUUCAGCUCAGACAGUCCAAUUCAGUAAUUGCUCUAACUGUUCCUGUGUGUUCCAGUGACAGCCUCCUGCUCAAGAGAAAGCCUGGGUUACAAAAGCAGGAAGUCUUAUCCUCUGGUCUAGUUCAAAGCAUUUAUCAUCCAUGGGAGUAGGUAAAGAAAACCCUUGUCAGGAAAGCAGGCCCAAGAACUAAAUCCCACAUCAGAAAACAGCCCUUCCUCAUGGUACAUCUGCUUGCACUAAGGAGGCAGAGUAAUAGCACACUGAGACACAGUUCAAGUCAAGGCAGUAGGAGAGUAGUUUUGCAUCUCUGUCAACUCCAUUUUCUAUCCUGCAUUAUCCAGCUGCUGAACUUCUAUCACAGCACAACUGGAUUAUAAACUGUAAAUUUAUUAAUAAUUACAGUUUUUAUUAUUAAUUUACAGUUUAUAUUAAUAUAUUAAUAAUAACAGUUAUUAACAGUGUAGUUAAUAACGGCAGACUCCCACAUGAGGAUACAAUAUACUGCAUACAAACAUUGAACACAAAGGCGUAACCCCAGCAAAGUACCACAUCUUCUGUUAUAAAGGGAAACAGGACAACAUAUUUGGCAUUUUUGCUGGCGUUCGGUCUCAGUUUGGGAGGAAGGUUCACAUACUCAACUUACUGCAAUUCAACACAAAGGAUUUCACCGAGAAGCCCUCUCCUGAGUUACCUACUGAAAAACCCGAUACAGUUCUUAGUGGACUCUUCUUAAAGGAAAGCAGAAGGUCACUGUAAGACAGCCAACACUGCUCCUCCCUCAGGACAGCACACCCAUCUUCAAGCCAGGGAAGCCGUACCGCAUUCGAGAAAGGCUGCCGUGCAGAAAUUCAGCUGCAACAAUACAGACACAGGAAAGAUCCUCAGAGAUUUCAUCUGGUGAGUGAAGUGAGUCUGAGGGAUUGUACUGUUGAAGUAGAUGAUUUGUAAGCAUUUGUUAUUGACAUAAGGCUCACUUUUUAUUUAUUUUACAGAACAUGCAAUGCUAAACAGCUGGCCAAAGGCAUCAUUUUUCUCCCCUUUCUCAUCCCUCAAGAUUGCUGAACCAAUGGCAUCAGCCAGGGAAGGAAGAAGCCCCAAGCACAGAAAUAGCAGGUGCCCCCUCUUUUUUUUGUGGUAAGUAAGGAUUUAUUGCACUUUUGUUUUAAGCUGGAGGCAGACAGGUAUCCCCUUCAACUACAAGAGCUUUAGCUUCCUACCCAUUCCAUUUUAGCACAGAUAUUCUUAGGCAUCCCCGUUCCCACAUGUAGAACAGAGCCUUUCCACCCACAGUAGAAACCAUCUUUACAAGAAGCCGUCACCAGCCAGUAGUUCUUCCAGAGAAAGGACCCCUCAGCACCCACUUAGACCCCGCAGAGGCUGACUCCAGUACCAGUAUUUCAGGGGCAUACCUCAAAAGCAGAGGAACAGCAUUAGACCUAGAAGCUCCCCAUAGCUUCUUGCUGAAGGGAAACUGUAAAGCAAGAGGAAGACCUCUCUCAAACAGGAGACCUGGUUUUCCCACUAUUACAAAGUCACCCAUUUUUAAGUUUCAAGUCUCCCAUCCACUAAUUCAACCCAGUGCACUUUGAGAGGCAUGCUCUUUAGUAUUAUGCCUUAUCCCCACAAGGAGACAUCUUCAUUUUUAUAAACACAACACCAAGUUGGCCUUGUUAGAGACCUGUCACAACAGGGAGAGGUCAUCAGCAUUUCCCUCCUUUAAUUUUCCCAUUUGUCUGAGUUUUUCCCCUCCAAGAGCAGCAUGCUAAAGUCAGAGAGCAGAGCAGCAGCUGCCCUCCUUCCUGAGGGUCUCAGUCUACUUAGGCUGCUACAGUAUCCAUCCUGCAUAGCUAGAGAUGGUAUGCCUGUGGUGUGAGGGAGUAAACAUGACCUCCAGCCACUUCCCUCAACCCCCCCAGGGUGCAGUCCACGACUACAGAGCACAAGCAACCUCUUAAGUCACAACAAGAGGAGUUGGUUCCAAGGGAGCUUACCUGAGCUUUGAAGAACCACACUAAAAACUUUUUUCUCCUCCUCCUUCCAGCCCAGGAGCACCACACAAAGCAGCCAUCGCCACACAGGAGCCACUCCAGCACCCAGGGAAGAGACAUCUCUGCCAGGAGGGGGGCCCCCCCACUCCCCCACACAAGGGGAGCCCCCCAGCCAGGGGGGGACACUACCUCUCCCCCCCACCCAGGGGAGCCCCCUCCCUCCACCCAGGAGGGGGCACACCCCCCCUCC